ACAUGUGAGGGCUGUCUGAUCGCCAGGGUUGAUUCGGCUGAUCUGGCUGGCUAGGAAGGUGUCCUGCACGUUUGGUCAAAGAGGACGGCCUUCCCCAAUAGAGACUGACCGAUCUUCAGUCGAGGGGUAUACCAGUAGCUGCGCUCCCCUGCUAGAACCUCCAAACAAGCUCUCAAAGCACCAAUAUUUGUGCUGCAAACAUUGUAGUUAUAUUUCUUAUUUUACAUAUAUUAUACGACCUAUGCUAUAUUGGUUUAUUUA
rnacentral:snRNA from 1 species